UGUUACGUUUGGGAUCAAAUCUUGAUGAACAGCCCACUGUGUCUAUUCCCUCAGGAUAACCCACUACUUUAUGAUGUUGGACUAUGGCUACUAAAUAAGAAUAAGAACAAAUGUCAGGAAUCGUGAUCAGAAGCAAAAGAGCCCAGCUGCUGUGUGAAGAUGCCAUGUUGGGAGAUGUAGCACCUUGAUGGAUCUCAGGCCAUGAAUAUGAAUCGAGUCCAGUGAAUAAGCAAACAGAGUAGAUGUAAACUAAUGAUAAUACCCCAAACAUAAAGCCUGAAAAUUCAGCAAGCCAACAAUUUCGGACAUAUGAACAUUAAUUCACUUUUCUAGGUGGUAUGUUAUGAAUGUGUGUGUCUUGUAUUUCUUCUAUGCCACUCCCAAGGAUCGGAUUAUGAUGUUACGGAAGAGGUGAAAUGUUUAAAAAUGACCUUCGUGACCGGUGUGAAAUUGCUGUAUGGUACUAUGCAUACCUGGAAAACCAUACAGAGCAUCUGUGGGAGUCUUGAAAUGACAACACUACAAUCUGAGACGACAAGUUUUCUGCAGCAUACACCUUUUCUAGUCAACUUUCGUGUCUUUAGCUCCGAAGAGAGUGGUUUGCUCCCAAAAGAGAGGGAGAAUAAUCAUAGCCAAUACCCAUCAUCGUAAUAGGCUGGCACAGUAGCGGUGAUCACAAGAGAAUAUACUUCCUAAGAGGUCCUGAGCUGGUGUCAGAUAGAUAUUCACAGCCCUUAGAUGUGUUCACUUGCGGAGCACAAGGAGCCUGCGAGGAGACACAGCUCCCAGACAGACUCCUGCCUCCAUCUGCUCUGGAACCAUCAACAUAACAUAUUUAACAAGAACUAUGAGGUCCUACCACGUGCCGGGCACCAUUUUGGCUCUGUGGACACAAGAGAAAACAACACAGACGUGAUCCUGGGCCGUGUGAGUCACAAGGGAUGUAGAGAGACACAACAUAACCGGAUGAGUAAGUACAAAUUAUGUCAUCACACACUGUGAUUAGCACUAAAAUAUUAGUAAUGAUAAAGCAGGAUGUGAGAUAAGCAGGACGAGGAGAGG
rnacentral:lncRNA from 1 species